rnacentral:rRNA from 1 species
AAACUGAAGAGUUUGAUCCUGGCUCAGAUUGAACGCUGGCGGCAUGCCUAACACAUGCAAGUCGAACGGUAACGGCAGAAACAAUCCUUCGGGUGCGUUUUUGGACGACGAGUGGCGGACGGGUGAGUAAUGCUUGGGAAUUUGCCUAGUAGUGGGGGACAACACGAGGAAACUCGUGCUAAUACCGCAUACGCCCUACGGGGGAAAGCGGGGGAUCUUCGGACCUCGCGCUAUUAGAUGAGCCCAAGUCGGAUUAGCUUGUUGGUGAGGUAAAGGCUCACCAAGGCGACGAUCCGUAGCUGGUCUGAGAGGACGAUCAGCCACACUGGGACUGAGACACGGCCCAGACUCCUACGGG